UCCAGAAAAAGGCAGACAACUUUUGACUGCUGCUCCUCCAGCCACUGGCUCCAGUAAGACAGCAUAAGGCCAGUGGAGAUGAAACACCUGUCCCUCACCACACCUUCAGCUUGCACACUGCCUGGACGCACUGACUGAUGAACAGCUAUGAGGCCGCGCUUGGUCCCUGGCUGAGGAGUGGUGUCAGCAACAGCAACUAGAGGUCACCUGUCUUCAAACAGACUCUGGGAAGACGAUUUCGAGACAGGAAACAAAACCUGCAGUCAUAGGAUGUGGCAUUGAAGGGAUAAUGGUGAUUUUUCUAAUCCAAAUGUAUCAUUUUACAGGAAGAACAAAUGAUGUAAACCACAAGACCGACGAAGUCUCUCAGGAGUUCCUGGUGUCUCACAUUACA